AGUGAACGCUGGCGGUAGGCCUAACACAUGCAAGUCGAACGGCAGCACAGUAAGAGCUUGCUCUUACGGGUGGCGAGUGGCGGACGGGUGAGGUAUACAUCGGAAUCUACUUUUUCGUGGGGGAUAACGUAGGGAAACUUACGCUAAUACCGCAUACGACCUACGGGUGAAAGCAGGGGGUCUUCGGACCUUGCGCGAUUGAAUGAGCCGAUGUCGGAUUAGCUAGUUGGCGGGGUAAAGGCCCACCAAGGCGACGAUCCGUAGCUGGUCUGAGAGGAUGAUCAGCCACACUGGAACUGAGACACGGUCCAGACUCCUACGGGAGGCAGCAGUGGGGAAUAUUGGACAAUGGGCGCAAGCCUGAUCCAGCCAUACCGCGUGGGUGAAGAAGGCCUUCGGGUUGUAAAGCCCUUUUGUUGGGAAAGAAAAGCAGCAGGUUAAUACCCCGCUGUUCUGACGGUACCCAAAGAAUAAGCACCGGCUAACUUCGUG
rnacentral:rRNA from 1 species